GACGGGGGGGGCAAGUGUUCUUCGGAAUGACUGGGCGUAAAGGGCACGUAGGCGGUGAAUCGGGUUGAAAGUGAAAGUCGCCAAAAAGUGGCGGAAUGCUCUCGAAACCAAUUCACUUGGGUGAGACAGAGGAGAGUGGAAUUUCGGUGUGUAGGGGUGAAAUCCGUAAAUAUACGAAGGAAACGCCAAAAGCGAAGGCAGCUCUCUGGGUCCCUACCGA
rnacentral:rRNA from 1 species